CAUCUUCAAAUUAUCAUCAUCAUCUUCAAGUAACGACGGUGGUGGUUCUUAUUCCUAUGGAUCCUCCACCACUAGCCGCCGCUCCUCCCCCACCGCAACCACCCACCCCCUUCUUCCUUCAACCCACAAGAACAGAUUUGAACCUCCACCACUAGUCGCUGGAACCCUAGCUCCACCUCCACUAACGACGACGAUGAACGGAAGGAGAAGAAAGUGUUGCUGAUCAUCAGGUAAGAAUCAAUGGAUGCAGCAUAGGAAAAGAACGUGCCCCCACAAGACAAAAAGGAUGACCAGAAAUCAGUGGAUGCAGCAUUGAUAAAAUCUGUUGAGGCUGUUCCUGAUUUGAAAAGCUAUUUGGGUGCGAGAUUUUCACUCAAAGCAGGCAUGAAACCUCACGAGCUCGUCUUU